rnacentral:rRNA from 1 species
UACAUGGGGUGCAAACGUUGCUCGGAAUCAUUGGGCGUAAAGCGCGUGAAGGCGGUUACUUAAGUCGGAUGUGAAAGCCCUCGGCUUAACUGAGGAAGUGCAUCCGAAACUGGGUAGCUAGAGUACGAAAGAGGGUCGCGGAAUUCCCGGUGUAGGGGUGAAAUUCGUAGAUAUCGGGAGGAACACCGGUGGCGAAGGCGGCGACCUGGGUCGAGACUGACGCUAAUACGCGAAAGCGUGGGGAGCAAACAGG